CAAGAAGCAGGAAGCCACUACCGACUCUGCUAAAGGAAAAAAGAAGGAACCAGAAGCUGAACUACAGUGGACCUGUUUGGCAAGAGCUGGAACUACAGAGAAGACAGUCACUGCUGCAGAAAUCACCCAAGGAAACAAGGAGAGAAAUACCCUGGCUUCUCUCUUCUUUUUACCCUCCAUUUUUUGCCAGUGUGUCUCCCUGGCCUAACCCAACCAGCUGGAAGUCUGAGACACAAGAGCCUGUGAACUGCAGCCUGCAAGGAUCAGCCAUCGUGGACUAAAACACAGCAGGCAGAGGGAGGAUGGAUGCAGGGCAAACAGAUCCAGGACCGGUACUGCACCUUUAGGGAACUCUUCUCUUUCAUGACCCAAGAGUGCAGUUCAAGUUUCUGCUAUCAGGUGUCUUCCUGCCAGCUGUAAGGGAAAGGGGAGGACGAGGAAGAUGUGUACAGAUAAAGGCAUCAUCAACUUGGAGAAAGGUGCAGGCUGUACACAAACAGGCUUUGGGUGUGAUUUGGCCUGAGGGCAUGGGCAUUUUCUACUGCGUGAGGAUAAUCUGUCUGAGAAGGAAACCAUUCAAAGGAGGUCCUGCCAGGAGGAGGAAGAAGAGAACACAGAUUCCCAAUGACGUGAUUUGAGUGCCUGGACCCACUAGAUACAAAAACCUAACCCAGGAAUUUUUAAGUUUGUGAACCAAUAAAUGCUCUUUUUUCAAAAGUCAGUGUGCCCUAGUUUUAUGUUACGUAUAAACAAAAGAACAACUGGCAAAUGUAGCGAUGUGCUUGAAUCUCUAAAUCCUUUCUGUGUGAUAGUCUGCCUGUUUUAAUAUCAUCUAAAUUGCAAUUGCUAUUGUUCAGGAAUUACUAAAACAGUUAAACCCAGAUUAAUGCAAUAUUUUUUACAAUCAGUUGUUCUCUGAAGUGGAAAAAUAGAAGAAAGAAAAACAAUAUUUUUGUGUGUGUCAGGCAUUGCACUGACUGUCUUAGAUGUUGUCCCACUGA